rnacentral:rRNA from 1 species
UACGGAGGAUGCAAGCGUUAUCCGGAUUUAUUGUGUUUAAAGGGUGCGCAGGUUGUUUGAUAAGUCAGUGGUGAAAGUCUGUCGCUUAACGGUAGGAUUGCCAUUGAUACUGUUGGACUUGAAUAUGGAUGAGGUAGGCGGAAUGUGUAGUGUAGCGGUGAAAUGCAUAGAUAUUACACAGAACACCGAUUGCGAAGGCAGCUUACUAAUCCAUCAUUGACGCUGAGGCACGAAAGCGUGGGGAUCAAA